CUGAACCAUGCUGUUUAUCAAAAGAGAGAGCUCUGAAAAGUACUUAUAACUCUGGAAGAGAUGGAACAACCUUAUCUUUUGGUACUAAAAGACAACUUUGCUGUGGCAUCAAGAACUCACAGUGCUGUUUGCAGGAGCUGUUAUUACUCAGUCUUUUUGGUUACCCAAGUUGGCACCACAGACAACCUUUCCCAGGGUCAGGUUUGCUUCCUGCAAAGGUCCAAUCCAAGAAACCCAUUUCAGUACUUCUGCUUACCAACCAUCACAGCAGCUUCCCCAAGCAAAAGUGUAUCUCAAAAACACUACAGCCUCCUGAUGUCACACGUGGCAAAAUACGUAAGAAAAUUGGGAAAGACUCACAAAGAGUACCUCUUGUGCAGAACAGCUGUUCUAGCAAACCCCUGGAUUCUACUGCAAAGUUGCUGUUGAUCAGAUCCAAGAUAAAAUGCAUUCUGCUACCAAUGAAUGUACCACACAAGUAUACUAAUGGCUGGAAUAACCAUUAGUAUUAUUAAACACCAGUCUAAUUACCCUAAAAAUGUAA